rnacentral:tRNA from 1 species
GCGCUCUUAGUUCAGUUCGGUAGAACGUAGGUCUCCAAAACCUGAUUCCGUAGGUUCAAAUCCUACAGAGCAUG